GAUCCUGGCUCAAGACGAACGCUAGCUACAGGCUUAACACAUGCAAGUCGAGGGGCAGCAUGGUCUUAGCUUGCUAAGGCCGAUGGCGACCGGCGCACGGGUGAGUAACACGUAUCCAACCUGCCGUCUACUCUUGGACAGCCUUCUGAAAGGAAGAUUAAUACAAGAUGGCAUCAUGAGUUCACAUGUUCACAUGAUUAAAGGUAUUCCGGUAGACGAUGGGGAUGCG
rnacentral:rRNA from 1 species